AUCCAGCUGACCAUGAGUCCCAAAUAGGACGAAAUGCGCAUCCUGGAU
rfam:Trichobilharzia regenti genome assembly, scaffold: TRE_scaffold0006153